rnacentral:rRNA from 1 species
UACGUAGGGGGCAAGCGUUGUCCGGAUUUAUUGGGCGUAAAGAGCGUGUAGGCGGCCAGACAGGUCAGCUGUGAAAACUCGAGGCUCAACCUCGAGACGUCGGUUGAAACCGUCUGGCUAGAGUCCGGAAGAGGAGAGUGGAAUUCCCGGUGUAGCGGUGAAAUGCGUAGAUAUCGUCUGGAACGCCAAAGGUGAAAACAGCUCGCUGGGGUUGUGCUGACGCUGAGACACGAAAGCCAGGGGAGCGAACGGG